GGUGAUGUGGUUACAUUUGACACAACAUACUUAACCAACAAAUACGAAAUGCCAUUUGCUCCUUUUGUGGGAGUAAACCAUCAUGGUCAAUCAAUUCUUUUAGGGGCGGCAUUAAUUUCAAGUGAGGAUACGGAGUCAUUUGUUUGGUUGUUUGAGGCAUGGUUGAAAUGCAUGAAGGGCCGUGCGCCAAGGGCAAUUAUUACAGAUCAAGAUAGGGCCAUGAAAAAUGCUAUUAAGAAGGUGUUUCCGAAUGCUCGUCAUAGAUUUUGUUUAUGGCAUAUACUGAAAAAACUUCCGGAAAAGUUUGGAUCACAUUUACAAUACUAUGCCAUUAAGAGUGCCAUAAGAAAUUGUGUGUAUAAUUCUCAUACAUGUGACGAGUUUGAUUCAUGUUGGCAGAGUAUGCUUGAGUGUUAUAAUCUAGAGGAGAAUGCAUGGCUGCGUGGUUUAUACAGUGAAAGGACUUUUUGGGUACCAACAUAUUUGAAUGAUGUAUUUUGGGCCGGCAUGACUACCACACAACGUAGUGAGAGUAUGAAUGCCUUUUUUGAUGGUUAUGUGCAAUCGUCCACCUCAUUGAAGGAAUUUGUGGAUCAAUACGAUAACGCUUUGCGCAGGAAGGUUGAGGUUGAGAAUGUUGCUGAUUUCGAUUCCUUCAAUACCACCAUUUCAUGUGUGAGCCAUUGGCCCUUUGAGAAGCAAUUCCAAAAAAUUUACACCCAUGCAAAGUUUAGAGAAGUUCAGAAGGAGAUUUCGUCGAUUAUGUAUUGUGGUUCUUCUCUUUUAAAAAGUGAAUGUGGAAUUCGUACCUAUCAGGUGAUCGAACAGGUAGAAAUUAAUGAAUCCUAUAGGAAAAAAAUCGUUUUUAAUGUUUGCUACAAUGGCCCUGUAUGUGAAGUGAAUUGUAGUUGCCGUUUGUUUGAAUCAAGAGGAAUUUUGUGCAAACAUGCCAUAUCCGUGUUGACUACAUUUGAAGAUGUCGAUUUCUUGCCCGAAAAGUAUUUUCUAAAUCGAUGGAGGAAGGAUUUGAAGCGGCCAUAUAAGUUAAUCAAGAGUAGUUAUGAUCCUUUGAGUGGCAACCCUACUGCAGAUCGAUAUGCUGAACUGAGCAACAAUGUGCUGAAGUUGGCCGCUAUUGCAGCACCAAACGUGGACCAUUGCAUGGAAUUGCAAAAGUAUGUUGAUAUGCUAAUUAAGAAAUUUAGCGGUCCAAGCUGUGAACAAAGUCAACCUUCCCAAUCACUCCCAAGUGCAAAAGAUCUCCCAAGUGCACCUAUGAUCGAUAAUGGAGCCAUGGAUUGUAUGGAGGUGGAGGUGUGUAGUCCUCUUGUGGCUCGAACUAAAGGCGCGCGACCAUCAAUCAGAAAAGUGUCUGUGGUUGAAAAAGUGGUGAGAAAAAAGUCGUCAAAAGGAGGAAAUAAGAAACAGAGCAACGCAAAUCCCGAGCAGCGAGGGAAAAGAAAGAAGACAUGCCAAAGAUCGCUAGUAGAUGAACUGGACACAAGUGAAGAUCAGUUGCCUUUUUCAACUGAUGUGCAGCAUGACCAAGUGAUUGAAACACAACAUAGUGUACUUACACAGACGUUUGGGAAUUCACAAUCGUCAUGUAUUUUCGAAGGAGAUUCUAUAUACUUGUCGUAAGUGGGCUCGGCUUCAUAUCCUCAGACAACCAAUUUUCUUGAUCCUGCUUUUGUUUCGGGUGAUCCCAUCUAUAAUGUGCAAAGCCAGUGCUCAUCAAAUUCUACAUUUUCUGUUUCCUUUAAGCAGUCAUCCAUUGAGCUGCAAGAAGGACCAACCAAACAACAAGAGGAACGUGGUCGUGCUUUUGAAUGAAGAGAGGGGCUUUUAUCCAAUCGAUCAGAGCUGUUGAAGACUAGUUUUGUAUGAUAUAUGUGACCAAUCGAGUGUGCAAUAUGUAUAUAUAUGCUGGAGUACUAACCUUAAAUAAUGGAGACUUCCAGUAGUUUUGUGUAUCUUUCUUGUCUCCUUUUGUUAGAUUGUGAAACUGUUAUUGUAAUGGUGAGAUUUUGGCCGAUGAGAAAUA